GUUGGGUCUCAUUUAGAUAAAAAAGAGUUCACCAUUUGCAUGCGCACUAACCGCCUUAUAUUGCACAGUUGCAUUAUGAAAUUAGGCAUAAACAUUGAAGGGAAUGGGCCUGUAGACCCGCAAACACCCAUACUUAACAUACCCAGUUAUCCACUUUGCAUAAAUGCCUUACAGGAAACAUACUCGUAACAAAACAAUUGGAACCGUCAUAAAUUUUGAACGUUGAUAGAUGCCCCAAUGGAAACACAGUAAGAACCUGGAGCACCAUUCUAGCUUCACAAAAGUAAUUGGUAUUCGAUCAACUGUUUAAAUAAUUCAGAAAUUUUAAAUCUUCAUCGCUGCAGGUCUCACAAGUCCCAAUCCUGAACCACUACCU
rnacentral:misc_RNA from 1 species